rnacentral:lncRNA from 1 species
UUAUUUAUUUAUUUUUGAGACAGAGUCUCUCUCUGUUGCCCAGGCUGGAGUGCAGUGGCACGAUCGCGGCUCACUGCAACCUCUGCCUCCCUGGUUCAAGUGAUUCUUCUGCCUCAGCCUCCCAAGUAGCUGGGAUUACAGGCAGAUGCCACUAUGCUCGGCUAAUUUUUUGUAUUUUGAAUAGAGACGGGGUUUCACCGUGUUAGCCAAGAUGGUCUCGAUCUCCUGACCUUGUGAUCCGCCUGCCUUGGCCUCCCAAAGUGCUGGGAUUACAGGUGGUAGCCACUGCGCCCGGCCUUAUGUCCCCAUUUUACAGAUGAGAAAACUGAGUCUCAGAAAAUAAUGACUAAGCUAUUUUUUAAAGUGUCCCACUUGUCUUUCCCCACUUGCUCUGACAUUAAAGCAGACCAAGUGCUUAGCAUAGUUCCAUUCACAGUCUAAUUUUAAUGGUCCUGAAAGUCUUAGUCCUCCUUUAUUCUCUGAAGGCUCCUUCCCCCACCCAGUGCAGUCAGGUGAGUCGUUCUCUACGAGCCUGCAGGGCCCUGUUCACACUUCCAAGGCAGUACUUUUGCUGUGGCUUAAACAGCUAAGUUGUCUGUCUCCCUCCUAGACUACAAGCCCUUCAAGGAAAGAACCAUACCCUGGCCAUUUUUGUUUUCCCAGUGCCUAGACACAAUUGAGAAUGGACAAGGAGGCUGGGCGUGGUGGGUCACGCUUGUAAUCCCAGCACUUUGGGAGGCCGAGGCAGGUGGAUCACUCAAGGUCAGGAGUUCGAGAUCAGACUGGCCAACAUGGUGAAACCUCAUCUCUACUAAACAUAGAAAAAUUAGCUGGGCAUGGUAGCACGCACCUGUAAUCCCAGCUACUCAGGAGGCUGAGGCAGGAGAAUCCCUUCAACCCAGGAGACAGAGGUUCCAGUGAGCCAAGAUUGUGCCAUUGCACUCCAG